rnacentral:misc_RNA from 1 species
UCCGGCUUACACCGGCGGUCUCUUGUGAGUCCCCGACAUUACUCGCUGGUAACACAAGACGAGGGUUGCGCUCGUUGGCGGACUUAACCGUACACCUCACGGCACGAGCUGACGACAGCCAUGCAACAUCUGUCUUCACGUGAACUUGUGGUUCAGGGCCUAAUCUCUUAGGCUUUCGAUCGAUGUCAAACCUGGGUAAGGUUCUUCGGUUAGUAUCGAAUUAAUCCACAUGCUCCACCGCUUGUGCGGGUCCCCGUCAAUUCAUUUGAGUUUCAACCUUGCGGCCGUACUCCCCAGGCGGGAUGCUUAAUGCGUUAGCUGCGACACAAGAGGGGUCGAUACCUCUUACGUCUAGCAUCCAUCGUUUAGGGCGUGGACUAC